rnacentral:rRNA from 1 species
UACGUAGGGGGCAAGCGUUGUCCGGAAUCAUUGGGCGUAAAGCGCGUGUAGGCGGCCCGGUAGGUCCGCUGUGAAAGUCCAGGGCUCAACCCUGGGAUGCCGGUGGAUACUGUCGGGCUCGAGUCCGGAAGAGGCGAGUGGAAUUCCUGGUGUAGCGGUGAAAUGCGCAGAUAUCAGGAAGAACACCCGUGGCUAAGGCGGCUCUCUAGUACGGUACUGACGCUGAGACGCGAAAGCGUGGGGAGCGAACAGG